rnacentral:rRNA from 1 species
ACGGAGGGUGCAAGCGUUGCUCGGAAUUAUUGGGCGUAAAGGGUAGGUAGGUGGUCUCAUUUGUCUGAGGUGAAAGCCUUGAGCUUAACUCAAGAAGUGCCUUAGAAACGGUGAGACUAGAGUCCUGGAGAGGGUCGUGGAAUUCCCGGUGUAGCGGUGAAAUGCGUAGAUAUCGAGAGGAACACCUGCGGCGAAGGCGGGUUGCUGGGCUGACACUGACGCUGAGGCGCGAAAGCUAGGGGAGCGAACGGGA